rnacentral:rRNA from 1 species
GGUUAAGCGACUAAGCGUACACGGUGGAUGCCCUGGCAGUCAGAGGCGAUGAAGGACGUGCUAAUCUGCGAAAAGCGCCGGCGAGGUGAUAUGAACCUUUGACCCGGCGAUGUCCGAAUGGGGAAACCCAGUGCAAUUCGUUGCACUAUCGUUAACUGAAUACAUAGGUUAACGAGGCGAACCGGGGGAACUGAAACAUCUAAGUACCCCGAGGAAAAGAAAUCAACCGAGAUUCCCCCAGUAGCGGCGAGCGAACGGGGAGCAGCCCAGAGUCUGAAUCAGCUUGUGUGUUAGUGGAACGGUCUGGAAAGUCCGGCGAUACAGGGUGAUAGCCCCGUACACGAAAGCACACAGGCUGUGAACUCGAAGAGUAGGGCGGGACACGUGGUAUCCUGUCUGAAUAUGGGGGGACCAUCCUCCAAGGCUAAAUACUCCUGACUGACCGAUAGUGAACCAGUACCGUGAGGGAAAGGCGAAAAGAACCCCGGCGAGGGGAGUGAAAAAGAACCUGAAACCGUGUACGUACAAGCAGUGGGAGCACCUUCGUGGUGUGACUGCGUACCUUUUGUAUAAUGGGUCAGCGACUUAUAUUCUGUAGCAAGGUUAACCGUAUAGGGGAGCCGAAGGGAAACCGAGUCUUAACUGGGCGUUAAGUUGCAGGGUAUAGACCCGAAACCCGGUGAUCUAGCCAUGGGCAGGUUGAAGGUUGGGUAACACUAACUGGAGGACCGAACCGACUAAUGUUGAAAAAUUAGCGGAUGACUUGUGGCUGGGGGUGAAAGGCCAAUCAAACCGGGAGAUAGCUGGUUCUCCCCGAAAGCUAUUUAGGUAGCGCCUCGUGAACUCAUCUUCGGGGGUAGAGCACUGUUUCGGCUAGGGGGCCAUCCCGGCUUACCAACCCGAUGCAAACUACGAAUACCGAAGAAUGUUAUCACGGGAGACACACGGCGGGUGCUAACGUCCGUCGUGAAGAGGGAAACAACCCAGACCGCCAGCUAAGGUCCCAAAGUCAUGGUUAAGUGGGAAACGAUGUGGGAAGGCACAGACAGCCAGGAUGUUGGCUUAGAAGCAGCCAUCAUUUAAAGAAAGCGUAAUAGCUCACUGGUCGAGUCGGCCUGCGCGGAAGAUGUAACGGGGCUAAACCAUGCACCGAAGCUGCGGCAGCGACGCUUAGGCGUUGUUGGGUAGGGGAGCGUUCUGUAAGCCGUUGAAGGUGGCCUGUGAGGGUUGCUGGAGGUAUCAGAAGUGCGAAUGCUGACAUAAGUAACGAUAAAGCGGGUGAAAAGCCCGCUCGCCGGAAGACCAAGGGUUCCUGUCCAACGUUAAUCGGGGCAGGGUGAGUCGACCCCUAAGGCGAGGCCGAAAGGCGUAGUCGAUGGGAAACAGGUUAAUAUUCCUGUACUUGGUGUUACUGCGAAGGGGGGACGGAGAAGGCUAUGUUAGCCGGGCGACGGUUGUCCCGGUUUAAGCAUGUAGGCGGAACGAUUAGGUAAAUCCGGUCGUUUUUUAACGCUGAGGUGUGAUGACGAGGCACUACGGUGCUGAAGUAACAAAUGCCCUGCUUCCAGGAAAAGCCUCUAAGCAUCAGGUAACACGAAAUCGUACCCCAAACCGACACAGGUGGUCAGGUAGAGAAUACCAAGGCGCUUGAGAGAACUCGGGUGAAGGAACUAGGCAAAAUGGUGCCGUAACUUCGGGAGAAGGCACGCUGAUAUGUAGGUGAAGCCCCUGCGGGUGGAGCUGAAAUCAGUCGAAGAUACCAGCUGGCUGCAACUGUUUAUUAAAAACACAGCACUGUGCAAACACGAAAGUGGACGUAUACGGUGUGACGCCUGCCCGGUGCCGGAAGGUUAAUUGAUGGGGUUAGCGGCAACGCGAAGCUCUUGAUCGAAGCCCCGGUAAACGGCGGCCGUAACUAUAACGGUCCUAAGGUAGCGAAAUUCCUUGUCGGGUAAGUUCCGACCUGCACGAAUGGCGUAAUGAUGGCCAGGCUGUCUCCACCCGAGACUCAGUGAAAUUGAACUCGCUGUGAAGAUGCAGUGUACCCGCGGCAAGACGGAAAGACCCCGUGAACCUUUACUAUAGCUUGACACUGAACACUGGUCCUUGAUGUGUAGGAUAGGUGGGAGGCUUUGAAGCGUGGACGCCAGUCUGCGUGGAGCCAUCCUUGAAAUACCACCCUUUAAUGGCUGGUGUUCUAACGUAGACCCGUAAUCCGGGUUGCGGACAGUGUCUGGUGGGUAGUUUGACUGGGGCGGUCUCCUCCCAAAGAGUAACGGAGGAGCACGAAGGUUAGCUAAUCCUGGUCGGACAUCAGGAGGUUAGUGCAAUGGCAUAAGCUAGCUUGACUGCGAGAGUGACGGCUCGAGCAGGUGCGAAAGCAGGUCAUAGUGAUCCGGUGGUUCUGAAUGGAAGGGCCAUCGCUCAACGGAUAAAAGGUACUCCGGGGAUAACAGGCUGAUACCGCCCAAGAGUUCAUAUCGACGGCGGUGUUUGGCACCUCGAUGUCGGCUCAUCACAUCCUGGGGCUGAAGUAGGUCCCAAGGGUAUGGCUGUUCGCCAUUUAAAGUGGUACGCGAGCUGGGUUUAGAACGUCGUGAGACAGUUCGGUCCCUAUCUGCCGUGGGCGCUGGAGAAUUGAGGGGGGCUGCUCCUAGUACGAGAGGACCGGAGUGGACGCAUCACUGGUGUUCGGGUUGUCAUGCCAAUGGCACUGCCCGGUAGCUAAAUGCGGAAAAGAUAAGUGCUGAAAGCAUCUAAGCACGAAACUUGCCCCGAGAUGAGUUCUCCCUGAGACUUUAAGUCUCCUGAAGGAACGUUGAAGACUACGACGUUGAUAGGUCGGGUGUGUAAGCGCAGCGAUGCGUUGAGCUAACCGAUACUAAUGAACCGUGAGGCUUAACCUU